rnacentral:rRNA from 1 species
UACGAAGGGGGCUAGCGUUGCUCGGAAUCACUGGGCGUAAAGCGCACGUAGGCGGCUUCUUAAGUCAGGGGUGAAAUCCUGGAGCUCAACUCCAGAACUGCCUUUGAUACUGGGAAGCUUGAGUCCGGAAGAGGUGAGUGGAACUCCGAGUGUAGAGGUGAAAUUCGUAGAUAUUCGGAAGAACACCAGUGGCGAAGGCGGCUCACUGGUCCGGUACUGACGCUGAGGUGCGAAAGCGUGGGGAGCAAACAGG